CCAGAGUAAGAGGUCUGGUCUACAGCAUGAAGUCACACAGUGACAGGAAGGAAUAGCUGAGACUUGGAAAAGUUUCCUUAUGUCAUCCAUCUUCCUGCCUAUGUGCUGUAGAAAAAAGAUCAUCUAUGGACCUCUAGUGAAACCAAGAUACUCUGAAGGCAUGGACAACUACUGGUGAUUCUUCCAAUGCCGAGCAGGGCUAUCCUCAAGCCUCAGAUGCCUAAUUCCUGACCACCAGCUGUCAGAUCCUCCUCCUCUCCAGGAAGCUGAUCGUCAUCUAUCAGCACUUUUUCUCCUCCAAGAUGCUGACCAACAUCUCAGCACCCGUCUGUCUUCUCCAGUAU